rnacentral:rRNA from 1 species
GAUGAACGCUGGCGGCGUGCCUAAUACAUGCAAGUCGAGCGAACAGACGAGGAGCUUGCUCCUCUGACGUUAGCGGCGGACGGGUGAGUAACACGUGGAUAACCUACCUAUAAGACUGGGAUAACUUCGGGAAACCGGAGCUAAUACCGGAUAAUAUAUUGAACCGCAUGGUUCAAUAGUGAAAGACGGUUUUGCUGUCACUUAUAGAUGGAUCCGCGCCGCAUUAGCUAGUUGGUAAGGUAACGGCUUACCAAGGCAACGAUGCGUAGCCGACCUGAGAGGGUGAUCGGCCACACUGGAACUGAGACACGGUCCAGACUCCUACGGGAGGCAGCAGUAGGGAAUCUUCCGCAAUGGGCGAAAGCCUGACGGAGCAACGCCGCGUGAGGGAUGAAGGUCUUCGGAUCGUAAAACUCUGUUAUUAGGGAAGAAAAAAUGUGUAAGUAACGAUGCACGUCUUGACGGUACCUAAUCAGAAAGCCACGGCUAACUACGUGC